rnacentral:rRNA from 1 species
UACGUAGGGCGCAAGCGUUAUCCGGAAUUAUUGGGCGUAAAGGGCGCGUAGGCGGCUUGAUGUGUCAAAGGUGAAAUCCCUCGGCUCAACUGAGGAACUGCCUUUGAAACUGUCUGGCUUGAGGCCGGGAGAGGGUAGCGGAAUUCCCAGUGUAGCGGUGAAAUGCGUAGAUACUGGGAGGAACACCGGUGGCGAAGGCGGCUACCUGGACCGGUUCUGACGCUGAUGCGCGAAAGCGUGGGUAGCAAACAGG